UUCAAAACAAAAAACCUAUUUACCUUGUGAUGGCUAUAAGAAAUGAAAUGCCUGGUGUCCUGAGAGACUACCAUGUCUGUUUGAAAUCUGCGUUCAUUACAAGAACUUCCUAUGGGGCAUACCGUACGCUAAGCAAUUAUAAAUUUGUACAACUCAUAUCCAAUCGUAUUUUGAUGGCAACAAAACAGGGUGCAGGAGAAUUUGUCGUCGUGCCUGACCUUGGACCUGAUCGCCUGGAAAUGGACCUCGAGAUGGAUA